CCUUUUGCUACGGAAUAACUCAGGGAAACUUGUGCUAAUACCGUAUGUGCCCUUCGGGGGAAAGAUUUAUCGGCAAAGGAUGAGCCCGCGUUGGAUUAGCUAGUUGGUGGGGUAAAGGCCUACCAAGGCGACGAUCCAUAGCUGGUCUGAGAGGAUGAUCAGCCACAUUGGGACUGAGACACGGCCCAAACUCCUACGGGAGGCAGCAGUGGGGAAUAUUGGACAAUGGGCGCAAGCCUGAUCCAGCCAUGCCGCGUGAGUGAUGAAGGCCUUAGGGUUGUAAAGCUCUUUCACCGGUGAAGAUAAUGACGGUAACCGGAGAAGAAGCCCCGGCUAACUCCGUGCCAGCAGCCGCGGUAAUACGGAGGGGGCUAGCGUUGUUCGGAAUUACUGGGCGUAAAGCGCACGUAGGCGGACCGGACAGUCAGAGGUGAAAUCCCAGGGCUCAACCUUGGAACUGCCUUUGAAACUAUCGGUCUGGAGUUCGAGAGAGGUGAGUGGAAUUCCGAGU
rnacentral:rRNA from 1 species